GAUGAAGAACGCAGCGAAAUGCGAUACGUAAUGUGAAUUGCAGAAUUCAGUGAAUCAUCGAGUCUUUGAACGCACAUUGCGCCCCCUGGUAUUCCGGGGGGCAUGCCUGUCCGAGCGUCAUUGCUGCCCUCAAGCACGGCUUGUGUGUUGGGCCUCCGUCCUCCUCCCGGGGGACGGGCCCGAAAGGCAGCGGCGGCACCGCGUCCGGUCCUCGAGCGUAUGGGGCUUCGUCACCCGCUCUUGUAGGCCCGGCCGGCGCUUGCCGACACAUCAAUCUUUUUUCCAGGUUGACCUCGGAUCAGGUAGGGAUACCCGCUGAACUUAAGCAUAUCAAUAAGCCGGAGGA
rnacentral:misc_RNA from 1 species